rnacentral:lncRNA from 1 species
AUGUCUCAACGUGGAUGUUGUGCUACCGCUCGUCCGCUUCAGAACAGCCGCACACAGCUUGCAUGUCACACUUUCGGAAGAUAUUUCAUUGAAAUAUCUCCACGUGUGACUUCUAUAUUUUUUACGGUCUCUGCUUCUACAUUCCAUAUCUCACAACUGCUGGUUCUUUGUGUAAUGGAAGGAUCGUUUGAGCUAUCAACUGCAGUCUUUUGGUGGCCGUCUGGAUCUGCGACAUUUCAUUGCGCAUGUGCUGGGAUUAAAGGCUGAUCCCCCUUGAUCAGGACCCCUGUCAGCCCAGUGUGAGAGGCCUGACCUAUGCAUCCCAGGACCCCUGUCAGCCCAGUGUGAGAGGCCUGACCUAUGCAUCCCAGGACCCCUGGUCGGCCCAGUGUGAGAGGCCUGACAAGGAGGCGGGCAUAGCUAUUUGUCUCCCACGUCAAUCUUGAGGGUGACUGAAGCCUGCUUGAUUGAAGUGGGGUAUGCGGGUCUCCAUCAAUCUCUGUAGGUGGUUGAGUUUUCUAAAGUCAAAGUAAAUCACGUUUACGUGAUGACAUCACACUUUGUUACUUUGUAUAGUUUCUUGAAGCAUUCGGACAGGAGAGCAGUGCUACAAAUUGUAUGAGUCAAAGGGUCCUGCACACUGUUGGGUGGCCGGGUGCCCAUAUAAGGCAUAUGGCUCUAAUAUAUUUCUUAAAUGUCAAAUGAUGUCUCAUUAUUUCUCACCAUCAUUUAUGUUGAUCAAUAUUUCGGUUGUGCUGGCCUAAUUUGUAAAUGAUCAAAUAAAUGUCUGAUCAAUACAUACAAUUCUGAAUAUAUUGCUAUUUAUAAUGCUAAUGAAGAGGCACCAAUAAAUUGUCCAGUACACUCAUUAUAUGCUGUUUUCAUAUACAUACCUUUAUGUCUACACUUCUAAGGUGUCUCAGGCUUUACUAAUUAUUGUGAAGAAAUGUAUUCUGUAAUUAGUUACAAAACAAUAGUCUGACUAAACUUCAUAUGGAGAAAAGGAAUGCUGUAUCCUAUUUUGGAAACGUACGACUUUGUUAUUGGACUAAUAUAUGCAUAAACACAGUGCAUCUGUACACCAAGAAUGAUAUGUAAAUGUGACACAUGUCAAGAACACGAGCCAGUUCUCUUGGCCAUGAGAGCAUUUUGCAGAGAAAAUGGGUUGUGAAUUACAAUUUAGGUAAGGAUUGUUUACCUUGUUACCAGGCGACGACCACAAGGGCGUUUUCAAAGAGCUCUCAUUCAAGGCGAGCUCAUGAAUAUAAGCUCUCCUCCCACUCAGCCUGUUCUUUCAGGCUUCCUGAUAGUUAGAGAUCAGAGAAUGUACAAUUUCUUCAAUUCUGAGCAUUUUAAUGGUGUAAAAAUAUUAUGGGGGAUGUUUUGGUCAUGCAAAGGCUAUUUUUGCUUGGGAAAUAGGAUGAUUUAGGAGAAAUUGUAGAAAUAGGCAGGGUUUAGGGUUGUCAUUAGUUGACACAAAGUCCUUUUUAAUACAAAAAAACAGACAAUGCUGACAGAAUUUCUGAUUUCUUAAAGAAAAUAGUGAGGUAAUAAACAAUAUAUUUAUAAAUGAUUGUAAAGCAAUAAAUAAUUUAAGACUAUAUACUGGACACUGAGUUAUUAACAAAAGGAGCAAAGUUCACAGUACACAUGGAGAAAUGCCCGUAAAAUGACUAGCAUACAUCCCAAGUCAUGUUUAAUACAUGUGUGACUGGACAGCCUAUAUCCAAAGUCAUGUUUAAUACAUGUGACUGGACAGCCUAUAUCCAAAGUCAUGUUUAAUACAUUGGACUGGACCGCCUAUAUCCAAGUUAUGUUAAUACUGUGACUGGACAGCCCUAU